rnacentral:rRNA from 1 species
ACAUUCUAGAAACACUUUCCAGUACCUCUACUUUGUUACGACUUAUUUCAAUUUCAAAUGAAAGUGACGGGCAAUAUGUACAUAUUUUAAUUAUAAAUCAUUUUAAUAAACUAAUUAAAAUUACAUUUAAAUCCACCUUCAAUUAUAAUUUCAAAAUCUUAUUCAUUUAAAUAUAUUUAUUGUAAUCCAUCACAAACUUAAUUAUAUUCUGCAUCUUGAUCUGAAUUAAUUUUUAAUUUAAAUUUUUAAAUAUUAUUUUUAUUUUAAAAUAUUUUUUUUACAAUGAUAUACAAAAUUUUAAAUUAAGUAAAUUUAUUCGUGGAUUAUCAAUUACUAGACAGAUUCCUCUAAAUGAACUAAAAUACCGCCAUAUUAUUUAAGUUUCAAUAUAAAUUAUUUACUAUUUUAGUAUUUAAAUUUCAAAUUUUUA